rnacentral:rRNA from 1 species
AGAGUUUGAUCCUGGCUCAGAUUGAACGCUGGCGGUAUGUAUAAUACAUGCAAGUCGAGCGACCCACUUCGGUGGGGAGCGGCGAACGGGUGAGUAACACGUUGGAACCUGCCCCGAACUCAGGGAUAACAUCUAGAAAUAGAUGCUAAUACCGGAUGGUCCCGCAAGGGUAAAGAUUUAUCGGUUCGGGAGGGUCCUGCGGCCUAUCAGCUUGUUGGUGUGGUAACGGCGCACCAAGGCUAUGACGGGUAGCUGGUCUGAGAGGAUGAUCAGCCACAAUGGGACUGAGACACGGCCCAUACUCCUACGGGAGGCAGCAGUAAAGAAUCUUUCGCAAUGGGGGAAACCCUGACGAAGCAAUACCGCGUGAUUGAUGAAGGCCGAAAGGUCGUAAAGAUCUUUUCUGAGGGAAUAAUUCUGAAGGUACCUCAGGAAUAAGCACCGGCUAACUCCGUGCCAGCAGCCGCGGUAAUACGGAGGGUGCAAGCGUUAUCCGGAAUCAUUGGGCGUAAAGCGUCCGCAGGUGGUUCGUUAAGUUGAAUAUUAAAUCUUGAAGCCCAACUUCAAAUCAGUGUUCAAAACUGGCGAGCUAGAGCAUUUCUGAGGUACAUGGAAUUCUGUGUGUAGGGGUAAAAUCCGUAGAUACACAGAGGAACACCAAAAGCGAAGGCAGUGUACUGGGAAAUUGCUGACACUCAUGGACGAAAGCGUGGGGAGCGAACAGGAUUAGAUACCCUGGUAGUCCACGCCGUAAACGAUGGAUACUAGUUGUUGGAGGACUCGACCCCUUCAGUGACGUCGCUAACGCAUUAAGUAUCCCGCCUGGGGAGUACGGUCGCAAGAUUAAAACUCAAAGGAAUAGACGGGGACCCACACAAGCGGUGGAGCAUCUGGCUUAAUUCGAUAAUGAGCGAGGAACCUUACCUAGGCUUGACAUCCCGAGAAUCUUCCGGAAACGGAGGAGUGCCUCUGGAACUCGGUGACAGGUGCUGCAUGGUCGUCGUCAGCUCGUGCCUUGAGGUGUUCGGUUAAGUCCGUAAACGAGCGCAACCCAUAUUCUGUGUUGAAUUUUUCACAGAAGACUGCCGAUUCCAAAUCGGAGGAAGGUAUGGAUGACGUCAGAUCAGCAUGGCCCUUAUGCCUAGGGCUGCACAGGUGCUACAAUGGUCGGUACAGAAGGUUGCAAUGUCGUAAGACGGAGCCAAUCCCUAAAACCGAUCUCAGUUCGGAUUGAGGGCUGCAAUUCGCCCUCAUGAAGUUGGAAUCGCUAGUAAACGCGCAUCAGCAAUGGCGCGUUGAAUAUGUUCCUGGGUCUUGUACUCACCGCCCGUCACACUAUGAAAGGUGGGGGCGCCCGAAGUACCCUUAGCUAUUGGCGGGGUCCUAAGGUGAAACCACUGAUUGGAGUGAAGUCGUAACAAGGUAACCGU